AACUCCAUAGCAUUCAUUCUAUCCACCAGCAUCUUGUACUUAUCUUCAUUAGGAUCAUGAUAAUAAUUUUCUUCAGAAUCAGAAUCUCCCACAGUAUCAUGGGGACUACCUCCCUCUUUCUCAGAAUUUUCAGACUCAUAAUCAUCAACUUGUUCCUUUGUCUUGAUAGGGCCUCUGAAUCUUCUUCCCAGAUUGGUAAGGCCUCCUGAU
rnacentral:lncRNA from 1 species